UACGGGGGGGGGUAAGCGUUGUUCGGAAUUACUGGGCGUAAAGGGCUCGUAGGCGGCCAACUAAGUCAUACGUGAAAUCCCUCAGCUUAACUGGGGAACUGCGUGUGAUACUGGAUGGCUUGGAUUUGGGAGAGGGAUGCGGAAUUCCAGGUGUAGCGGUGAAAUGCGUAGAUAUCUGGAGGAACACCGGUGGCGAAGGCGGCAUCCUGGACCAAUAUUGACGCUGAGGAGCGAAGCCAGGGGAGCAAACGGG
rnacentral:rRNA from 1 species